AGCGAACGUUAGCGGCGCGCCUAACACAUGCAAGUCGCACGAGAAAGGGCUUCGGCCCCGGUAAAGUGGCGCACGGGUGAGUAACACGUGGGCAACCUGCCCAACCCUGGGGAUAACCUGCCGAAAGCCGGGCUAAUACCGCGUACGAGGGCUCGACUUCGGUCGGGUUCUGAAAGCAGGCCUCUGUAUACAAGCUUGUGGGGUUGGAUGGGCCCGCGCCCCAUCAGCUAGUUGGUGAGGUAACGGCUCACCAAGGCUACGACGGAUAGCUGGUCUGAGAGGAUGAUCAGCCACACUGGAACUGAGACACGGUCCAGACUCCUACGGGAGGCAGCAGUGGGGAAUCUUGCGCAAUGGACGAAAGUCUGACGCAGCGACGCCGCGUGGGUGACGAAGGCCUUCGGGUUGUAAAGCCCUGUGGGGUGAGACGAACAGCUGGGGUUCGAAUAGGGCCUCGGUCUGACGGUAUCACCUUAGCAAGCACCGGCUAACUCUGUGCCAGCCGCCGCCGUAAGAC
rnacentral:rRNA from 1 species